ensembl:lncRNA
GGUGAGGUAAGGUGUGAGUUCAUUACGUCCGGUGAGGUAAGGUGUAAGUUCAUUAUGUCUGGUGAGGUAAGGUGUGAGUUCAUUCAUUACGUCUAGUGAGGUAAGGUGUGAGUUCAUUACGUCUGGUGAGGUAAGGUGUAAGUUCAUUACGUCUGGUGAGGUAAGGUGUGAGUUCAUUACGUCUGGUGAGGUAAGGUGUAAGUUCAUUCAUUACGUCUGGUGAGGUAAGGUGUGAGUUCAUUACGUCUGGUGAGGUAAGGUGUGAGAUCAUUCAUUACGUCUGGUGAGGUAAGGUGUGAGUUCAUUACGUCUGGUGAGGUAAGGUGUAAGUUCAUUCAUUACGUCUGGUGAGGUAAGGUGUGAGUUCAUUACGUCUGGUGAGGUAAGGUGUGAGUCCAUUACGUCUGGUGAGGUAAGGUGUAAGUUCAUUCAUUAGGUCUGGUGAGGUAAGGUGUAAGUUCAUUCAUUAUGUCUGGUAAGGUAAGGUGUGAGAUCAUUACGUAUGGUG